rnacentral:rRNA from 1 species
GACGAACGCUGGCGGCGUGCUUAACACAUGCAAGUCGAACGGAAAGGCCCUGCUUUUGUGGGGUGCUCGAGUGGCGAACGGGUGAGUAACACGUGAGUAACCUGCCCUUGACUUUGGGAUAACUUCAGGAAACUGGGGCUAAUACCGGAUAGGAGCUCCUGCCGCAUGGUGGGGGUUGGAAAGUUUCGGCGGUUGGGGCUGGACUCGCGGCUUAUCAGCUUGUUGGUGGGGUAGUGGCUUACCAAGGCUUUGACGGGUAGCCGGCCUGAGAGGGUGACCGGCCACAUUGGGACUGAGAUACGGCCCAGACUCCUACGGGAGGCAGCAGUGGGGAAUAUUGCACAAUGGGCGGAAGCCUGAUGCAGCAACGCCGCGUGCGGGAUGACGGCCUUCGGGUUGUAAACCGCUUUCGCCUGUGACGAAGCGUGAGUGACGGUAAUGGGUAAAGAAGCACCGGCUAACUACGUG